CAACUACUCCCUCUGUCCCAAAUUUCUUGUCUUAGAUUUGUCUAGAUACGGAUGUAUCUAAUACUAAAAUGUGACUUGAUACAUCCGUAUGUAGACAAAUCUAAGACAAAAAUUUUGGGACGGAGGGAGUACUUU
rnacentral:pre_miRNA from 1 species